CCCAUUUUCUCUUGCUCCCACCAUGUAAGAAGUGCCUUUUGCUUCCCACCAUGAUUCUGAGGCCUCCCCAGCCAUGUGGAACUGUAAGUCCAAUUACACUUCUUUUUCUACCCAGUCCAGGUAUAUCUUUGUCAGCAGCAUGAAAAUGGACUAAUACAGUCACAAACACAUAGAACUUAGCAAUUGAUGAAACUUACACAUACAGGAAAAGAAGCUUUAAUAACCAGAAUAGAUUCACUGAGAAUAAUUCAAGUUAAGUAAACUUAUUUUCUUAUUUUAUAGGUUUCUAGACUGAUAAACUAGAGAAAUGAACUAUUUUUCCCAGGUCUCUGGUUCAUUCCUACUUGUUUGGUAUGGGAUAAUAGUGAAAUGGUGAAGACUAAAGGAAAACAAGUUUAGGAGAAAGAAUACAUUAAAUUCAUGGUAUCUUGAGAUAUACCUGUAGUGAUGUGAGGUAGAGAGUUGAAUACAAAAAUGUGAAGAUUAAAAGUAUUGGUUGGAGAAAUAUAUUUUGAAAAGGAUGGAGAGGCAGGAGAAACAAAGUAAAUGGAGAGGUAGAAAACAAUUGGAUCACGAGGUCUCUUAGAAUUUGGAAAAGAAAUGUUUCAAGAUCAUGGUAGUAAACUGCAUUGUUGAGUUCUGCUAGGGAAUUUAGUAAGGUCAGGAAAGAAACGUUUCCAUUAAGUUUGGAAACACGGUAUUUCUCUAAUGACUUAUUAUUAUGUCUUCAAUGUAAUUUUUCUCUUAUUUGUAACUUCAGUUUCUCAGUUGUUACCUGAAAUAAGUACAGAUGAAGUUUGUCAAAAGUAAUGUACAUCUCUUUUUCUUAUAGAAUAUCACUCGUUUGCCUGAGGAAAAUUCACAUCUUAAUUACUUUGAGGAAAUCUCCAAGUGCACUGACAUUAUCAAUAGGUCAGUACAGGUCAUUCCUUGCUACCUGUAGAAAUGGACGCCCACCGUACCUGAUGCCAAUGAAACACAACUGUGGCACUCAAUGCUGGAGACCUGUGAUGCUUUUGUGAAUAGAGAGGCAGAUGGAUCCCUCUGCUUAUGCUACAAUAAAUCUGCUCGUAUACAAAAGUAUACAGAGGGUAGUGAGGCACCUCUAUCAUUUCACAUACAUUCAGUCCCAUCCUCAGAAAGCACAACUAUCUUCAGUAUAGCUAGGCUAGCUUGACCUGUGGCUUGUCCUCCAUUUCCAUAGUUGGCAAAUGUUAGACCUGUGUAUACCACCAGCAAGUCUCCUUCUUCCCUAUUGGGAAGUUCCACCUCUAGGGAGAUUCUCAUUAUCCUUCCAGCAAUCUGGUUUCCUUUAUUGCCCUGCCAGUCCAUCAGACGUAUGUGAAUAUGGCAGAAGAUGAAUGGAGAACAGGGACUAUGUGUCCCCUGCAGCAAACUUCUCAGCCCCUUUGCAAAUUAGUGGUUACAAAUGGGGAGGAUGGAGUUUGUACAACUUCAUCAGCAUUGGAGCUCUCUCUUUCACCCAUCUAAGACAAGUUGUUACUUACAUUCACAUCACUUCUGUGAAGUUUGAAGGGAUUCUAAAAGAAUCAAUUUAAAAUAAAAAUGAACAGUUAAAUAACUUGUCCAAAAGCACAUAGCACAUGAGUGAACGUGAUGAGCUUUAAAUCUAGAUAUAACUGACUUCAGACGUAUAUUCUUUAUAUAACAACUUUAUUGAGGUGUACUUGUGCAAUACACUGCACAUACUUAGUGUGUACAUUUUUGUAAGUUUUGGUAUGCUAUACACCCAUGAAAUUAUCACCACAGGAAAAUAAGCAUAUAUAUAUAUAUAUAUAAAACAAAAGUUCCCUCAUGUCUUUCUUUCUGCCCCUCCCUGACCACCACCCUCUGCAUCUCAGGCAACUAUUCAUCUAUUUUCUGUCUAUUGAUUAGUUUGCAUUUCCUAGAAUUUUAUAACAAUGAACAUUCAUAGCACACACUUUUUCCCUCAAUUUCUCUCAUUUAGCAUGAUUGAGAUUAUGUUGUUUGUAUACAAACAGUUCAUUCCAUUUAUUGCAUAACAGGGUUCCAUUAUACUGAUAUGACUAUUUAUUCAUUCACCAAUUAAUGAAUAUUUGGGUUGUUUCCAGUUUGGAACCAUUGCAAAUAAAGCUCCUAUAAUCAUUAAAGUGCAAAAUGCAAUCUUCAUUUGAAGAUAAUAUGCUUUUAUUUCUCUUGGAUAACACAGUGGGUGUAUGUUUAAUUUCUUAAGAAACUGCAACACUGUUUUUCAAUGUGGUUCUACCAUUCUACAUUCACACCAGCAGUGUUGAGAAUUCUAAUUCCUCUACAUCUCAACCAAUACUUG
rnacentral:lncRNA from 1 species